UAGUAUAUUAAAUUCAUUACAUUCAAUUUCGACUUGAAAAAAAAUAUAUAAUAUUUAUAUUAA
rnacentral:tRNA from 1 species